AUUGAACGCUGGCGGCAGGCCUAACACAUGCAAGUCGAACGGCGGCACAGAAGAGCUUGCUCUUUGGGUGGCGAGUGGCGGACGGGUGAGUAAUGUCUGGGAAACUGCCCGAUGGAGGGGGAUAACUACUGGAAACGGUAGCUAAUACCGCAUAACGUCGCAAGACCAAAGUGGGGGACCUUCGGGCCUCACACCGUCGGAUGUGCCCAGAUGGGAUUAGCUAGUAGGUGGGGUAAUGGCUCACCUAGGCGACGAUCCCUAGCUGGUCUGAGAGUAUGACCAGCCACACUGGAACUGAGACACGGUCCAGACUCGUACGGGAGGCAGCAGUGGGGAAUAUUGCACAAUGGGCGCAAGCCUGAUGCAGCCAUGCCGCGUGUAUGAAGAAGGCCUUCGGGUUGUAAAGUACUUUCAGCGGGGAGGAAGGCGGUGAGGUUAAUAACCUUGCCGAUUGACGUUACCCGCAGAAGAAGCACCGGCUAACUCCGUGCCAGCCGCCGCAGUAA
rnacentral:rRNA from 1 species